CUGGGCUACCCCAUGGCCGUGGGCAUCAGCAAGGACCACAAGGUGACAAAGAAUGUCAACAAACCGACACACAGCACCGUGGGUGCCUCAACAAGCACCCCAUGAUCCGGGAGGUGUGUGGCUUUGCACCCUACAAGCAGCACACCAUGGAGUUGCUCAAAGUGUCCAAGGACAAGCACACACUCAAGUUCAUCAAGAAAUGGGUGGGCACGCACAUCCUCACCAAGAGAAAGAGGGAAGAGCUGAGCAACGUGCUGGCAGCCAUGAGGAAGGUGGUGGCCAAGAAGGAUUGG
rnacentral:lncRNA from 1 species